rnacentral:rRNA from 1 species
GACGAACGCUGGCGGCGUGCUUAACACAUGCAAGUCGAACGGAAAGGCCCUGCUUGCAGGGUACUCGAGUGGCGAACGGGUGAGUAACACGUGGGUGAUCUGCCCUGCACUUCGGGAUAAGCCUGGGAAACUGGGUCUAAUACCGGAUAUGACCUUCCAUGUAGUGUGGGGGGUGGAAAGAUUUAUCGGUGUGGGAUGAGCCCGCGGCCUAUCAGCUUGUUGGUGGGGUAAUGGCCUACCAAGGCGUCGACGGGUAGCCGGCCUGAGAGGGUGGACGGCCACAUUGGGACUGAGAUACGGCCCAGACUCCUACGGGAGGCAGCAGUGGGGAAUAUUGCACAAUGGGAGGAAGCCUUAUGCAGCGACGCCGCGUGGGGGAUGACGGCCUUCGGGUUGUAAACCUCUUUCGACAGGGACGAAGCUUCGGUGACGGUACCUGUAGAAGAAGCACCGGCUAACUACGUG